GUUUGGGGCGUUAAGGUGUCAGCAGGGCGUGUGCCGCUGUCGUCUAUGCGACAUUAAUUUACAGUUUGUCUAUAGUUAAGAACAUGAAAACUCAUUAAAACAUGCUGCAGAUAAGCAAAAGCUAACGACAACAACAACAGCAGCAGCAGCGGCAACAACAACAAAGGCAGCGAGAAGAAACUGGCAAUAAGACGUGGCUAUAAUUCAGUUGCCAGCAAGCCACAAAAACACACUCGAAACGUGACACAGUCAACAAUUUAUUGACACUUUCAAGACACUUGGUCAAUGCGUAUACCCUGUGCAUAAAUCAAUAUUUUUAUGGGGUAUAAACCAGCUGAGCUGUUCGAUUUGCUCAGCGAAGAGUUGCAGUUGCUCUAAAGCGCUAACAGUUUGAGAGUCACUGACUAAUUUCGACCAUUUCCGAGUCUAGUCUUAACUAUUUUACCUCUUUUGUCUGGGAAAACUGGAUAAGUUCGUUAGACUCGCUUUUCUUAU